AUGUGCUCCCAGUGCCCACACAGCCUCGGGCUCAGCAGCCCUGCCCAGGACAAUGCAGCUGGGGGAUCGCACCCUCGAGGCCACAGGAGGGGACGCCUCGCCCCUGAACUCUACUCCUGGAGCAGGAAAGGCUUCAGCUGGCAGAAGCCUGGCACACCUGCCUCAAACCCAACACUGGCUAGCCCCGUUGACCUGUCACAACCCCUGCAGGGGUCCUCUGCGUCCACCUUACAGAUCAGGAAAUUGAGGCUCAGAGAGGCCGGUCACCACCUGUGGUCACCCAGCCUCCAAGCAGUUGGGCCAUGUCUGCCCAGGAGCUGGGGAGGGGGCCAUGCCCCCCUGGGGAGGGGCAGAUCAUCUGGGAUCCUCAGGCUGGGGGAGCCAACAGCCCCUCUGAGACCCCCAUGCCUCCACCCAGAGCAUCUCAACUCAGGGAAAAGGGAGCCACCCUCACACACCCAACCCAGAAAACAAGCAGCCGCUAAGGAAUCUGAUCCUUGGGCUGAAAGUAGAUCCUGUCACAGACACCGAGGUGGGGGAACCAGAGCUGGGGAGGGGUGGGCAGGCAGAGGGAGCUCCUCAUAUCUGGGGAGAGGAGCUACAGGAGGUGCCCUGAGCAACAGCUUGAGUCCAGAGACCCUGAGAGGGGCCCGGGAAGGCAGGCACGACCUGGGUGAUCCUUCUGAACCACGGGGUCCCCUGGACUAUGCACUGCCAAGGGCAAUGGUUCGCCAGCCAGCCUGCGAAUGCUGGACGGGGAGCGCUCUCACUGCAGUGCUCCAGGCCUGGGCCCUCGGUCAGCACUCUGGGAGGGAGCCUGGGGCCCUGGCACCUUUCAUCCAGGGUCACCCCGCUACAAGCCCUACUGGUAGCCCCUGCUUUUCUCAAGGAAAAGGACCCAGCUUGCCCAAAAUAACUCGGUGGCAGGGGCUCAGCCUCAGGGAACCCUUGGGCCCUGGCCACCUGCUGGGUUGUCCAGGUUGUCCCAAGCUCUGGGUGGGGGCUAAGGGGGCUGGGGCUGGCCCCACCGGGGUGGGGAGAACCCAGAAUCUACCUGGGCCAAACCUGAAAAGCCAGUUUCAUCCUAGAAUCUCAUCUGCCAGGAAGUCCCCAGUGGGGGUUGGGGGACCUUUCCCAACACAGAGCUAG
rnacentral:lncRNA from 1 species